CAGUCGCCACGGUAAAACGGAGGAUCCAAGCGUUAUCCGGAAUCAUUGGGUUUAAAGGGUCCGUAGGCGGUCUUGUAAGUCAGUGGUGAAAGCCCAUCGCUCAACGGUGGAACGGCCAUUGAUACUGCAGGACUUGAAUUAUUGGGAAGUAACUAGAAUAUGUAGUGUAGCGGUGAAAUGCUUAGAGAUUACAUGGAAUACCAAUUGCGAAGGCAGGUUACUACCAAUUGAUUGACGCUGAUGGACGAAAGCGUGGGUAGCGAACAGGAUUAGAUACCCCCGUAGUCCCUGUCUCUUAUAC
rnacentral:rRNA from 1 species